rnacentral:tRNA from 1 species
GAAGAGAUAGCUAAGUGGUUUAAAGCGAUAGACUGUAAAUCUAUUGACAAAAUGUCUUCGCAGGUUCGAAUCCUGUUCUCUUCA